rnacentral:rRNA from 1 species
CAGCCGCCACGGUAAUACGAAGGGUGCAAGCGUUACUCGGAAUUACUGGGCGUAAAGCGUGCGUAGGCGGCUUCUUAAGUCGGAUGUGAAAUCCCUGAGCUUAACUUAGGAAUUGCAUUCGAUACUGGGAAGCUAGAGUAUGGGAGAGGAUGGUAGAAUUCCAGGUGUAGCGGUGAAAUGCGUAGAGAUCUGGAGGAAUACCGAUGGCGAAGGCAGCCAUCUGGCCUAAUACUGACGCUGAGGUACGAAAGCAUGGGGAGCAAACAGGAUUAGAUACCCCAGUAGUCCCUGUCUCUUAUAC